rnacentral:lncRNA from 10 species
CUGUAGUCCCACCUACUUGGGAGGCUGAAGCAGGAGAAUUGCUCGAACCUGGGAGGCAGAGGUUGCAGUAAGCUGAGAUCACGCCACUGCAUUCCAGCCUGGGCGACAGAGCAAGACUCCAUCUCAAAAAUAAAAUAAAAAAAGAAAGAAAGAAAAGAAGAAGAAAAGAGAAGAAGGAGAAGGAGAUGAAGGAGGAGGAGGAGGAGAAGGAGAAGAAGAAGAAGAAGAAGACCACAAAAGACAUGACUAUCCAACUUUUUAUGACAAACUGCAAGGAAUAAAGGAAGAAUAAGUCCAUGUACUGUACCACAGAAGUUCUGUCUGCAUCUUGGACCUGAACUUGAUCAUUAUCAGCUUGAUAAGAGACUUUUUGACUCUAUAUCCUUGCAGUUAAGAAGAAAGCACUUUUUUGUAAUGUUUGUUUUAAUGGUUCAAAAAAAAUCUUUCUUAUAAAGAGCAUAGGUAGAAUUAGUGAACUCUUUGGAUCCUUUGUACAGAUAAAGGUUAUAGAUUUCUUGUGUUGAAUAUUAAAAAAGCAAGGAUGUCUAACCAUUAAGAUUAGCCACUGUGCCUGGCCCCAAGUUUUGCAUCUUUUAAUGCCCUCUGAACAAAUACAUAGAGAAAACUCUCAGAACAAUUAAAACCUGCAGAGCAACAGUGUCCUCCAUGUCUUAGGUUUCAAGUUUGCCUCUAAAAUUCUAAUCCAUAUUUUUCUACUUCUCAGAUAAUUUAUGUGUGUGUACUCUUCCUAGACGUACAAGAGACUUUUUAAUGCUAAAUAUUUGUCAGUGCUUAACAAAAACUCAAUUUCACAUUACUCAUAUUGUUUUUGUUUUAAUUGAAUGUGAAUUAAAUUUUUAUUAGUUAUUUGAUUUGGAAUGUUAUGUAUGCCAUUAACACUAUUAGGGGAAUCUCUAGCAUUUCUGUAUUUUUAAAGAAUUUGAUUCUUUUGUAGAUUCUGCCUGUGUGGUCAUUUUAAAACAUGUGUGACAUAUAUCAGUACCUUCAUUCUUCUAUAUUUUGUGUCUCCUCCAACCUCCAACUUUUUUUGUUUUUUGAAAAAUGUUUCUCUAACACCUCAACAGUUUAAGGUAAUUUAGUACACAUAUAUCAGUAUUUUUGUGAUCUGAAAAAGCAACCCAUUUUCUAAAUUCAUAUUUUUCCUAAAACUUUACUAUGUUUUUAUUUUAAGAGGUUUCCUGUUAUAUACACUUUUUACACAUGCAAAUAAACUUUAUACCAAGUGA